rnacentral:rRNA from 1 species
UACGUAGGGUGCGAGCGUUAAUCGGAUACUGGCGUAAAGCGUGCGCAGGCGGAUUUUGGUAAGUCACGAUGUGAAAUCCCGGCUCAACCUGGAACUGCGUUGAACUACAAGGCUAGAGUGUAGCAGAGGGGGUAGAAUUCCACGUGUAGCAGUGAAUGCGUAGAGAUGUGGAGGAAUACCAAUGGCGAAGGCAGCCCUGGUUACACUCGACGCUCAUGCACGAAGCGUGGAGCAACAAGG